rnacentral:rRNA from 1 species
GAGUUUGAUCCUGGCUCAGGAUGAACGCUGGCGGCGUGCCUAAUACAUGCAAGUCGGCGCGGAACGGACGAGAAGCUUGCUUCUCUGAUGUUAGCGGCGGACGGGUGAGUAACACGUGGAUAACCUACCUAUAAGACUGGGAUAACUUCGGGAAACCGGAGCUAAUACCGGAUAAUAUUUUGAACCGCAUGGUUCAAAAGUGAAAGACGGUCUUGCUGUCACUUAUAGAUGGAUCCGCGCUGCAUUAGCUAGUUGGUAAGGUAACGGCUUACCAAGGCAACGAUGCAUAGCCGACCUGAGAGGGUGAUCGGCCACACUGGAACUGAGACACGGUCCAGACUCCUACGGGAGGCAGCAGUAGGGAAUCUUCCGCAAUGGGCGAAAGCCUGACGGAGCAACGCCGCGUGAGUGAUGAAGGUCUUCGGAUCGUAAAACUCUGUUAUUAGGGAAGAACAUAUGUGUAAGUAACUGUGCACAUCUUGACGGUACCUAAUCAGAAAGCCACGGCUAACUACGUCG